GACGAACGCUGGCGGCGUGCCUAAUACAUGCAAGUCGAGCGAAGCGGCGGAUGGGUGAGUAACGCGUGGGUAACCUGGCAUUAAGUGUGGGAUACCACUUGGAAACAGAAGUAAAUACCGGAUACUAAAGGAUGGACCUGCGAUGCAUUAGCUAGUUGGUAAGGUAACGGCUUACAAAGGCGAUGAGGCAUAGCCGGGUUGAGAGACUGAUCGGCCACAUUGGGACUGAGACACGGCCCAGACUCCUACGUGAGGCAGCAGUAGGGAAUCUUCCACAAUGGACGAAAGUCUGAUGGAGCAACGCCGCGUGAGUGAAGAAGGUUUUCGGAUCGUAAAGCUCUGUUGUUGGUGAAGCGGUAAUCAACCAGAAAGUCACGGCUAACUACGUGCCAGCAGCCGCGGUAAUUC
rnacentral:rRNA from 1 species